GAUGAACGCUGGCGGCGUGCCUAAUACAUGCAAGUCGAGCGAACAGACGAGGAGCUUGCUCCUCUGACGUUAGCGGCGGACGGGUGAGUAACACGUGGAUAACCUACCUAUAAGACUGGGAUAACUUCGGGAAACCGGAGCUAAUACCGGAUAAUAUAUUGAACCGCAUGGUUCAAUAGUGAAAGACGGUUUUGCUGUCACUUAUAGAUGGAUCCGCGCCGCAUUAGCUAGUUGGUAAGGUAACGGCUUACCAAGGCAACGAUGCGUAGCCGACCUGAGAGGGUGAUCGGCCACACUGGAACUGAGACACGGUCCAGACUCCUACGAGAGGCAGCAGUAGGGAACCUUCCGCAAUGGGCGAAAGCCUGACGGAGCAACGCCGCGUGAGUGAUGAAGGUCUUCGGAUCGUAAAACUCUGUUAUUAGGGAAGAACAAAUGUGUAAGUAACUAUGCACGUCUUGACGGUACCUAAUCAGAAAGCCACGGCUAACUACGUG
rnacentral:rRNA from 1 species